rnacentral:rRNA from 1 species
GGACUGAUGGGAGCUUGCUCCCUGACGUCAGCGGCGGACGGGUGAGUAACACGUGGGCAACCUGCCUGUAAGACUGGGAUAACUUCGGGAAACCGGAGCUAAUACCGGAUAACUUCUAGCACCUCCUGGUGCGAGAAUAAAAGAUGGCGCAAGCUAUCACUUACAGAUGGGCCCGCGGCGCAUUAGCUAGUUGGUGAGGUAACGGCUCACCAAGGCGACGAUGCGUAGCCGACCUGAGAGGGUGAUCGGCCACACUGGGACUGAGACACGGCCCAGACUCCUACGGGAGGCAGCAGUAGGGAAUCUUCCGCAAUGGACGAAAGUCUGACGGAGCAACGCCGCGUGAGCGAUGAAGGCCUUCGGGUCGUAAAGCUCUGUUGUUAGGGAAGAACAAGUACCGGAGUAACUGCCGGUACCUUGACGGUACCUAACCAGAAAGCCACGGCUAACUACGUGCCAGCAGCCGCGGUAAUACGUAGGUGGCAAGCGUUGUCCGGAAUUAUUGGGCGUAAAGCGCGCGCAGGCGGUCCUUUAAGUCUGAUGUGAAAGCCCACGGCUCAACCGUGGAGGGUCAUUGGAAACUGGGGGACUUGAGUACAGAAGAGGAAAGUGGAAUUCCACGUGUAGCGGUGAAAUGCGUAGAGAUGUGGAGGAACACCAGUGGCGAAGGCGACUUUCUGGUCUGUAACUGACGCUGAGGCGCGAAAGCGUGGGGAGCAAACAGGAUUAGAUACCCUGGUAGUCCACGCCGUAAACGAUGAGUGCUAAGUGUUAGAG